rnacentral:lncRNA from 1 species
UGCUGAAGUUAGAAGUCUGCUGAGGAUGAUUUCCUAAGAUAGGAUCCUCGAAAACCACCAAGACUUGACUGUGUAAUUUUUUGGGUGAGCUAUUAUAUAAAGAUCCUUGUCUCUGUUAUUUCCCACUCUGUUGCAUCACUCGGCUAUUCAACUCUUCUCAGGAAGUUUCAACCCCCCUGGAAUUCUGAAAUUGGUCAUCUUUGAGGCUCGAUUCUAUUACGUCAUCCGCAUGCAUUCUAUGGGUGAAGAUUCCAAGCCGCGCUCGGGGUGUCUCAAAUGUUCC